UACGGGGGGGGCAAGCGUUGUUCGGAAUUACUGGGCGUAAAGGGCGCGUAGGCGGUUGGAUAAGUCAGCUGUGAAAACCACGAGCUCAACUUGUGGCCUGCAGUUGAAACUGUCUGGCUAGAGUGUGGGAGAGGGAAGUGGAAUUCCUGGUGUAGCGGUGAAAUGCGUAGAUAUCAGGAGGAACACCGGUGGCGAAGGCGGCUUCCUGGACCACAACUGACGCUGAGGCGCGAAAGCGUGGGGAGCAAACAGG
rnacentral:rRNA from 1 species